UCCUGGAAUCCCUGUGUCUUCUGGACACUGUCAUGCUCUUCUGUAUGCUGGCAGCAAAUUGUGCUCCAAGUGCAACCUGUCUACUUUGUUUGCCUGUCACUGCAGCUGUAGCUGUCUGCCAAGCUAACUGCUUCCAGGAGUGCUAAUAAAAACACUGUACCAAGGUGGCAACUUUCAAAUCCCAGCCCAGGACAACAGAACUCCUUAAGCCAAUCAAAAGCAAGUGCCAGAGCCUGAGCAAAGCUGUGAAGUCUGGAGGAUAACUGUUAGCUUUCCUACAUCCUGCAAGGAUGGUGGGUUAGCUCCUGAGUCUGACAUAUUGCUGGUCCUGUUGGAGGACUUCUGAGAAUAUUCAAGCACAAAACAUCACUGGCAUAAAACGAAAUACAGCAGAUUUCUCUAAGUUAUAUCCUUCACAUUUUAGUUGGGACGCUGAGUAGAAAAUCAGUUACUCACACAGAGGCUCCCUGGUGGGCAGAGUCUGGUUAUUUUCGGGGUCAUGAGCACUGGUUAUUACUUAAACCAUAUAACUCAAAAGUCUGCACAGAAAGGAUGAGACUCUCUAUGCUGGCAUUUCCAAAGGCUGAGCAGAGCUGAGUAGGUAGGGCCUAUGAGCAGUGUGCUCAUGACCCAUCUGGUAGGCACUCAGAAUACAGGCAGGCAGAAAUUCCCUGUGGCACUCACAGUUUGACUUAAUAUUUGACUUAAUAUUUGAUAUUUAGAGGUGAUGGGGAUUAGCACUAUUCCCUCUGCUUCUGUGACCACCAUGCUUGCGCCUUCAGUGCAGGCUACCUGUUCUCCUUUUCAAUGUUGCCAGCACAAUCCCUGUUUCAUCCCUGCUGUAAAGUCACCUGUAGCCUGGUACACCCCCCAUCAAUAUGAAAUAUUGGGAAUAAAGGCCCAACAGCAUUACUGUGAAAAAGAGCAGUGAAAAUGGGUCCCCCCAUGCCCCAAGGCCAUGUGUUUGUCUUUCAUCUGUGGUACUUGGGGCUAGAUUGUUCCUUUCUUUCCAGAGGAAAAGCAAAAAGCAAACC